GAUGAACGCUGGCGGCGUGCCUAAUACAUGCAAGUCGAGCGAACGGACGAGAAGCUUGCUUCUCUGAUGUUAGCGGCGGACGGGUGAGUAACACGUGCAUAACCUACCUAUAAGACUGGGAUAACUUCGGGAAACCGGAUCUAAUACCGGAUAAUAUUUUGAACCGCAUGGUUCAAAAGUGAAAGACGGUCUUGCUGUCACUUAUAGCUGGAUCCGCGCUGCAUUAGCUAGUUGGUAAGGUAACGGCUUACCAAGGCAACGAUGCAUAGCCGACCUGAGAGGAUGAUCAGCCACACUGGAACUGAGACACGGUCCAGACUCCUACGGGAGGCAGCAGUAGGGAAUAUUCCGCAAUGGGCGAAAGCCUGACGGAGCAAUGCCGCGUGAGUGAUGAAGGUCUUCGGGUCGUAAAACUCUGUUGUUAGGAAAGAACAUAUGUGUAAGUAACUGUGCACAUCUUGACGGUACCUAAAGAGAAAGCAACGGCUAACUACGUG
rnacentral:rRNA from 1 species